GCUUUCGUGGUGUAAUGGUCAGCACACUGAGCCGGUAUUUCAGAGGUCCGCGGUUCGAUCCCCGGCGAAGGCA
rnacentral:tRNA from 1 species